GCCGAAACAGAAACACGCGCGCCAAAAAUAUCUGAUGAGUUCGACACAGAAACUUUGAUAGAACUUGUAAAAAACCACCCUGUAGUAUGGGAUGUCAACAACCCUUUACACAGAGAUAAAUUUGAAAAAGAUUCAACUUGGCAGAAAAUAGCAAGUUCCCUUGUCGAAGGUUUUGAAGAGAGACUGCCCCUUGAAAAAAAGGACAUUGCAAAAAGAGUCCAAUCCCGAUGGAGGAAUAUAAGAGAUAAUUAUUUAAAAACGCAAAAGAAAAGAAACCAACAGCCUGAGCCAAAAGGUAGAGUCUACGUUUAUGCCAAACAUUUGUUUUUCCUGAACUCCAUAUAUAGUUCGGAAAAAUCGAAACCGAUGCCGAGCCUUGAGGUGGACCCAGAUGGUCUGAUCGCUGGUUGCAGCUCAGAAUCGUUUUCAGAAAUGACAGCAAGCACUCCUCGACAAAGUACAACAACGAACCCUUCUACUCGGAGUUUAUUGAGAUGGGAAGCUCCCUCGGAUCAGCACCGAAUAGAUAUUGACAACAGGUCUAUGUUCAUGAAACCGAUGGUGAGCAUCAAGUUGGAACCAGAUGAUCCAAUCGGUGAAUACAGCUCUGACUCUCUUUCAGAAACUACAGCAUGGACUCAUCCACAAACUACAACAACGAACCCUUCUACACGGGGUUUGUCGAAAUCAGAAGCAACCCCGGAGCAGCACCGAAUGGAUGUUGACAACAGUUCAGUGUACAAAUAUAUAAAUCAAAGUAUUCUGGUUGAACCUGUUGACGAGGACCGAGCAUUUUUUGAUUCUCUUCUGCCCACGCUCAAAUCUUUGACGAAUGAUCAGAAAUUAGAAUUCCGUGUGGAAGUCUUGAAUUCGCUCAGGCGGAUUAAACGAGCUGCUACUUUACUUCAACCUUCAAUAAUCCCAGAUGUACAACAUUAGGGUGAGCCGUUUUUUUUUUUUUUUUUUUUUUUUUUGAAAUUCAUUUUUGCGAAGCGUUUAAAAGUUGCAUAAUAAGUUAACAAGAACGCCAAAAAAAUUCUUGAAUAUUAAAAGAUAUCUAGCUGCGCCCCUUUGCUUCUGAAGAACAGAAAAAAAAAAGAAAAGAAAUCUUCUUUUUUGUAAAAAUAUAUAUGUUGAAAUAAAGUCCAAAUAUUUUACCUUUUUGGUGCUUUUGUUGUUGUUUCUACUUUUAUAUGUUUUCAC